UACACACUGCAAACUUUUAGUCGGCCGAUAGUUUGUUUGGGCUCAUAAAUCAGUAUGAAGAUGAAUGGUAGUACGCACAUUACAAAGAUCAGGUAUUUAGCCGGUAUCAGACCGACUGAGAACUUUGAUUGG
rnacentral:lncRNA from 1 species